rnacentral:rRNA from 1 species
GUGGGGAAUAUUGGACAAUGGGCGCAAGCCUGAUCCAGCCAUGCCGCGUGAGUGAUGAAGGCCUUAGGGUUGUAAAGCUCUUUCACCGGUGAAGAUAAUGACGGUAACCGGAGAAGAAGCCCCGGCUAACUUCGUGCCAGCAGCCGCGGUAAUACGAAGGGGGCUAGCGUUGUUCGGAAUUACUGGGCGUAAAGCGCACGUAGGCGGAUAUUUAAGUCAGGGGUGAAAUCCCAGAGCUCAACUCUGGAACUGCCUUUGAUACUGGGUAUCUCGAGUAUGGAAGAGGUAAGUGGAAUUCCGAGUGUAGAGGUGAAAUUCGUAGAUAUUCGGAGGAACACCAGUGGCGAAGGCGGCUUACUGGUCCAUUACUGACGCUGAGGUGCGAAAGCGUGGGGAGCAAACAGGAUUAGAUACCCGGGUAGUCC